GACGAACGUUGGCGGCGUGCUUAAUACAUGCAAGUCAACUGAAGCAGUGGUAGCAAUAUCGCUGUGGAGGUGGCGCACGGGUGAGUAACACGUAGGUAAUCUGCCUUCAGGUCGGGCAUAACUCCGGGAAACCGGGGCUAAUAGCAGAUGAUGCAGCGGCUCGACAUCGAGACAGUUGUUAAAGCUAUGGCGCCUGAAGAUGAGCCUGCGUCUGAUUAGCUAGUUGGCGGGGUAACGGCCCACCAAGGCAACGAUCAGUAGCUGGUCUGAGAGGAUGAUCAGCCACACUGGAACUGAGACACGGUCCAGACUCCUACGGGAGGCAGCAGUAAGGAAUAUUGCUCAAUGGGAGAAAUCCUGAAGCAGCAACGCCGCGUGAGGGACGAAGGGCUUUUGCUUGUAAACCUCUGUAGUGAGAGAAAAAAAUCCCAAUCUUUGGGACAUGAUGGUAUCUCAAAAGUAAGCCCCGGCUAACUACGUG
rnacentral:rRNA from 1 species